rnacentral:rRNA from 1 species
GUUCGAUUAUAGCUCAGAUUGAACGCUGGCGGGAUGCUUUACACGCAUGCAAGUCGAACGGCAACACGGACUUCGGUCUGGUGGCGGGUGGCGAACGGGUGAGUAAUGUAUCGGAACGUGCCCUAGUAGCGGGGGAUAACUACGCGAAAGCGUAGCUAAUACCACAUACGCCCUUCGGGGGAAAGCAGGGGGACCUUCGGGCCUCGCACUAUUAGAGCGGCCGAUAUCGGAUUAGCUAGUUGGUGGGGUAACGGCUCACCAAGGCGACGAUCCGUAGCUGGUUUGAGAGGACGACCAGCCACACUGGGACUGAGACACGGCCCAGACUCCCUCACGGGAGGCAGCAGUGGGGAAUUUUGGACAAUGGGGAAACCUGAUCGCCAUCCCACGGUGGUUCGGCAGGCCAUUCAGGCAUAAAACCUUUGGCAGAACGGCAUGGGAUAACCACUGUCGAACUGUGGUUUGCAGAUAAACGGCUUAACCAUGCCAGCGAUGCGGCAUGACCGGGUGCAGCGUUAUCGAAUUACUGGGCAUCAGCGUUGCAGGCAGUUAGAAAGGUGCGAAAUCCCAGAGCUUAACUUUGGAACUGCACAUUUUUAACUACCGAGCUAGAGUGUGUCAGAGGGGUGGAAUUCCGCGUGUAGCAGUGAAAUGCGUAGAUAUGCGGAGGAACACCGAUGGCGAAGGCAGCCUCCUGGGAUAACACUGACGCUCAUGCACCAGCAUUAAGGAGCAAACAGGAUUAGAUACCCUGGUAGUCCACGCCCUAAACGAUGUCAACUAGCUGUUGGGGCCUUCGGGCCUUGGUAGCGCAGCUAACGCGUGAAGUUGACCGCCUGGGAGUACGGUCGCAAGAUUAAAACUCGAGUCGGCUUGAGGGACCCGCACAAGCGGUGGAUGAUGUGGAUUAAUUCGAUGCAACGCGAAAAACCUUACCUACCCUUGACAUGUCUGGAAUCCCGAAGAGAGAUUUGGGAGUGCUCGCAAGAGAACCGGAACACCGGGUGCUGCAUGGCUGUCGUCAGCUCGUGUCGUGAGAUGUUGGGUUAAGUCCCGCAACAGGCACAACCCUUGUCAUUAGUUGCUCUACGAAAGGGCACUCUAAUGAGACUGCCGGUGACAAACCGGAGGAAGGUGGGGAUGACGUCAGAGUCCUCAUGGCCCCUAUGGGUAGGGCUUCACACGUCAUACAAUGGUCGGGACAGAGGGUCGCCAACCCGCGAGGGGAGCCAAUCCCAGAAACCCGAUCGUAGUCCGGAUCGCAGUCUGCAACUCGACUGCGUGAAGUCGGAAUCGCUAGUAAUCGCGGAUCAGCAUGUCGCGAGUGAAUACGUUCCGGGUCUUGUACACACCGCCCGUCACACCAUGGGAGUGGGUUUUACCAAGUAGUUAACCUAACCGUAAGGAGGGCGAUUACCACGGUAGGAUUCAUGACUGGGGUGAAGUCGUAACAAGGUAA